GAAUCAUUUUCGUUGUUUCAAGCAAAUUCAAGCAGUUUCUUAGAUCAUGAAGAUCAUUCAAGCAAAUUCAAGCAUAAAAUUGAACCAAAAGGGUUAAGCAAGCGAAGUUAGAAGAGUUUUCAAUCGGAAGUCUGUAACAUUUCAGGCAUGCAAGCAAAUUCAAACGAGUAUAAUGUCAUGGCAAUUUUCCAGCAAAUUCGAUCCACAAAGGAUCUAAAAGUAGAAGUUUCAAGCCAAUUCGCGAGGAAUCGACCUGUCGUCGAGUGUUUUAUCAAGCAAGUGAAUUCAAUCUAGUUCAUAGCGAAAAAAAGUUUACUGUGAAUGUGUUUGUGUUUCGUUCAAUGUUUGUGCUCGUGCUAGAUUCGUGCUAGACAUAUAAAUCCAAUUCUGAUCCGAAAAUUCGACUAUUUUAGCUAAACAAACAAAGUUCACUGUCGACACAUUGUAAAUACCACAAGCAAUUGGUCAUAUGAAACGAAGUCUGGCCAUUACCAUCAAGUUAACGUUCAAGCAACUGGUCUGGAUACACAAGCAAUCAAUCGAUAUACGUGUUCGGAUUAAUCGAUAUACGUGUUCGGAUUACAAUUGCAAUUCAUUUAGUGUUAAGGAGGGACUCAUGUUCUUUAUGCUAGGUCAUGAGAAGAUUGUCAAGCUGUAUUACUUUCUAACGGAAAUCAAUUCACUGAACGGUUCGUGAUAGUAUAAAUCGGCAUCGACUCGACUAAUAGUUCAAUUCAGUGAAUUAAUUUGCAGACGUUCAACGUACUCAUUUUGAGUACGGUCAUGCAGUGUAAUCUAAGGCUUUAUUUUACUAAUGCAAUCGAUGACACCGUCAAUUCGGUUUUGGUUUUGUUAACGUACAUUUACUACAGUCAGAAUUUACUUUCGUUUCGAAACAUUUAGUCCCAUAAAUACUUCAACGGGAGGAAUAUGUUGGAGUUUAGAACUGAUAUGACUGCAUGUGAAUUCAUUAUGUUUUUACCAUUUUGUUACCUAUUAAGUAUAGUGAUCUGUCCUUUGUUGCCACAUAAGGUGCAGAUAGAUAGGGGACCAUGUUAU